UGCGAGUGUUUUACGCGGUAGAUGCAUUUUCAAGAUAUACUAAAUGAGGAAAUUUGCAAUUCAUUGUGUUAUGCAUAAACUCGUUCUCCUUGUGGUGGGGUAUAUAGAUAUCUUUCUAACUGAACGGCACUUGGAUCACGUCAGCCAGUAUUAUCUUUGGUUACAGGUCUGAUAACAUGCAGCUACUACAAUUAGAACUGCCAGAAUACUAUUGCUGUUGCAUUCAAUAAACAUUGUUUAAGAAUAUUGAUCGACUGCUAUAGAACCAUGGAAUCUUUCGAAAUAUUGUGCGGCAUUGCUGCUGUACUUCUCAGUGUGCAUUAGUAUUUUACGUUGAACUUUAAUUUUUGAAAGUCACGUGGCAUUUGUGGCCCUAAACCGAUACCAGGAUUCGAUAAUUUUAAAGACGUUAUGCUUAUGAAAAAAUCCACACCUGAUUAUUUGAUGGAAAUAUACAACAACUACAAAGAAUCUAUGGUUGGAAUAUUCAUUAACAGGACACCCGUUUUUAUUGUAAAAGAUCCGGAUUUAAUUAAGGAUAUUCUUAUCAAAGAUUUUACCACAUUUGCCGAUAGAGGGUUUCCACUUCAUGAAAAGUGCAACACAAGAAGAAAAGUAAUAAAGUGGUUAUUAAGAAUAUCGCGGAAUAGUGCAAGGAAGGGAAGUGAUUUCUUCUAAUUGAUGUCAUAUUGAACAAAGUUAGAUUAUAUUAGCGAAACUGAGCGAAUAUUUACAUUUAAAUGAAUCUGUGCAUUGUCAAUUAACAUAUUUGUCAUAAAUACAUUGUUGAAAAAUGAUUAUGGAAGAUUUUGGCUGACCAUGUUUUUCAAACGAUAAGUUAGUAAUUAUACUCGCGAACGCGCAUUCGUAUAUAAUGUUUAUUUAAUUUUACAUUUAGAUGUAAUUAAUGCAUAAUUAAUAUUUUUAAGUUAACUUACAUAUGGCUAAGCAAUGAGUUUAUGUUAAUAGCAAAAUAAUUUUAUGAGAAUUCUA